CCUACGGGUGGCUGCAGUGGGGAAUAUUGCGCAAUGGGGGAAACCCUGAAGCAGCAACGCCGCGUGGAGGAUGAAGGUUUUAGGAUUGUAAACUCCUUUUGUUAGAGAAGAUAAUGACGGUAUCUAACGAAUAAGCACCGGCUAACUCCGUGCCAGCAGCCGCGGUAAUACGGAGGGUGCAAGCGUUACUCGGAAUCACUGGGCGUAAAGAGUGCGUAGGCGGGAUUGUAAGUCAGAUGUGAAAUCCUAUGGCUUAACUAUAGAACUGCAUUUGAAACUGUUAUUCUAGAGUGUGGGAGAGGUAGAUGGAAUUUUUGGUGUAGGGGUAAAAUCCGUAGAUAUCAAGAGGAAUACUCAUUGCGAAGGCGACCUUCUAGAACAUAACUGACGCUGAUGCGCGAAAGCGUGGGGAGCAAACAGGAUUAGAUACCCGGGUAGUC
rnacentral:rRNA from 1 species